UGCCACAGGCUCAGUGCACAACCGCACAGAUGCUCUGUGCGGGGUCACCUAGUGUAUUUUUAAAAUAUAAUAAAUUAUUAUUCAUAUAUAUAAAUGCUUAAAACCCCAAAAUGUGCCAAAAGUCAUAUAAACAUUCUUAUAUGGUUGUUGUGAGAAAGAAACCUAAGUAUGUAGUCCUCCGCUCUGGGCUCCUUGGAGGAAGAGCGGGAUAUAAAUGUAAAAUAAUAAUAAUAAUAAUAAUAAUAAUAAUAAUAAAUGUACCAUAUCCACUAUGUAGAUGAAAUAGCAAUUAUCACAGAGGAAUCUAGUCUCCUAGAGCCUGAAAAUGUUCAUCUUCCUACAUGUGAUGAGGUCAUCCAUGGCCACGGUAGCAUGCAAGACCCAGGAAUGCUGAGCACUUGCCUGCAAAUGUUCAUCACUUCAGGCAGCAAAAGGUUUGGAAGUGCCCUGACCACAAACACACACAAACUGCUUGUGCCCAUUGCAGAUCCGAAACUACACUACAAUCUAUCAAUCAAUAGCUUUGUUACCAUCCUUGACCAGAUUUCAGCAUUAUAGUACAAAGCUAACAUCCCAUGCAGUUGGUGCAGCCUUUCAGAUAUCACAGUAGAGGAAGUUUACCCCAAUCGGGGACAUAUCCUUACCUAACUGAUUGAAGGGGCCUUCACCAUUGCUUGACAAAUCUUGUAAGCAAUGGCACAAAAUUGAGCAACCAAGAGGUAACAAAUACAGUCUUAUCUGCAAGGAGAUAGGUGACAUAAAACCCCACUGGUCUUCCCUGUAAGUUCUCUGAAAGGGCUAAAAUCAGUUUGCUAUGUGGAAUGAUGGAAAAUUUACAAUGAAGUAAACAAACCCAUCUGCUCCACAAGAACACUUGCGCAGGGGAUAGGCUAUCUUUUUAUAUCUCCCCUCCAACUAAGCUAAUGGGAAAACAUGAUUGGGAGGCAAGCAGCAUGUGCUAGUUGGCCAGCCGGCUGCAGAAGCCCUGAGGGGGCGGAGCCACUGCAGUUCGUCCAGGGUUGAGGAAACCUGGCAGGCGGAGGGUGGGGCCAGGAUAGACCAUGCCCCUUGCCCAACCAGCCGGAUGAGCCAAGCCAAGGUCGGGCGGGUGACCAGGCGAGGGGCUGAUAUGGUAGCCUAUGGCGCUCGCGCUCUGGCUGUUCCCCUCGCAGGAGGGGCUGCACGGCCAGAGUUGAGGCGGCGGCGAGAGCGGGAAAGCUGUGGCAAGCAGGAAUGCCCCCCUCUGCUAAGCAGGAUCCACCCUAGUUUGCAUUUGAAUGGGAGACUACAUGCACAAUCUCCGUAAGAUAUUCCCUUCAGAGGAAGAGCACCUGCCUGCUUGCAUGCAGCAGGUGCCCAGUUCCCUCCCUGACAGCAUCUCCAAGAUAGGGCUGAGACUGAGAGAGACUCCCGCCUGCAGCCUUGGAGAAGCCACUACUAGUCUGUGUAGUCAGUACUGAAAUAGAUUGUCUAAGAGUCUGACUCAGUAGAAUGCAGCUUCCUAUGUUGUAUGAAGGACAGGCUUUUGGAAUGUGAUGAAUUGCCCGCCACCGCUGCUCACCCUGUGAGAGGGCAGGCAGACACCUCCUUCGCUCUAGCCCAGACACAGAAAGCUGGAAGGGGGCAUGGAGGUUGCCUCUCUCCCCUGCUCGUCCCAGCAUGCAGGCUGAGAUAUGGGAGGAGAGCUGGUCUUGUGCUAGCAAGCACGAAUUGUCCCCUCUGCUAAGCAGGGACUGCCCUGGUUUGCAUUUGAAUGGAAGACUACAUGUAUUAUUUUUAUGCUUGUGUUAAAACUUUUUAAAUCAGAGUUGUUUUAUGUUUUUAGCUUAAUAUUUUAAUUGUGUCAUUUGUAUAAUCUUGUUUUAAAAUUCUGCUGUUAACCACCUUGGGAUUGUUUUAAUGAAAGGCGGUAUAUAAAUUUAACAAUAAAAUAAAUAAAUACAUUAUAAUGAGCUAAGGCAAA